rnacentral:rRNA from 1 species
AUUGAACGCUGGCGGCAGGCCUAACACAUGCAAGUCGAGCGGAUGAAGGGAGCUUGCUCCUGGAUUCAGCGGCGGACGGGUGAGUAAUGCCUAGGAAUCUGCCUGGUAGUGGGGGAUAACGUCCGGAAACGGGCGCUAAUACCGCAUACGUCCUGAGGGAGAAAGUGGGGGAUCUUCGGACCUCACGCUAUCAGAAGAGCCUAGGUCGGAUUAGCUAGUUGGUGGGGUAAAGGCUUACCAAGGCGACGAUCCGUAACUGGUCUGAGAGGAUGAUCAGUCACACUGGAACUGAGACACGGUCCAGACUCCUACGGGAGGCAGCAGUGGGGAAUAUUGGACAAUGGGCGAAAGCCUGAUCCAGCCAUGCCGCGUGUGUGAAGAAGGUCUUCGGAUUGUAAAGCACUUUAAGUUGGGAGGAAGGGCAGUAAGUUAAUACCUUGCUGUUUUGACGUUACCAACAGAAUAAGCACCGGCUAACUUCGUG